GACGAACGCUGGCGGCGUGCUUAACACAUGCAAGUCGAACGGUGAAGGGACUGGUUUUGCUGGUCCUGGAUGAGUGGCGAACGGGUGAGUAACACGUGAGUAACCUGCCCCCUUCUUCUGGAUAACCGCAUGAAAGUGUGGCUAAUACGGGAUAUUCUGGGUCUGUCGCAUGGUGGGCCUGGGAAAGAUUGCGCCUUUUUUGGUGUUUUUGGUGGGGGAUGGGCUCGCGGCCUAUCAGCUUGUUGGUGGGGUGAUGGCCUACCAAGGCGGUGACGGGUAGCCGGCCUGAGAGGGUGGACGGUCACAAUGGGACUGAGACACGGCCCAGACUCCUACGGGAGGCAGCAGUGGGGAAUAUUGCACAAUGGGCGCAAGCCUGAUGCAGCGACGCCGCGUGAGGGAUGGAGGCCUUCGGGUUGUGAACCUCUUUCGCCAGUGAAGCAGGCCUGCCUCUUUUUGUGGGUGGGUUGACGGUAGCUGGAUAAGAAGCGCCGGCUAACUACGUG
rnacentral:rRNA from 1 species